rnacentral:rRNA from 1 species
ACGGAAGGCAGCAGUGGGGAAUAUUGCACAAUGGGAGAAACCCUGACGGAGCGACGCCGCGUGGACGAUGAAGGCCGGAAGGUUGUGAAGUCCUUUUAUGGCAGAGGAAUAAGCGGGGGAGUGGAAAGCCCCUGUGAUGACUGUAGGCCAUGAAUAAGCACCGGCUAAUUACGUGCCAGCAGCCGCGGUAACACGUAAGGUGUGAGCGUUGUUCGGAAUCAUUGGGCGUAAAGGGCAUGUAGGCGGUCUGUCAAGCCAGGCGUGAAAGCCGGGGGCUCAACCCCCGAACUGCGCUUGGAACUGGCGGACUGGAGUCGCUGAGGGGGAACCGGAAUUCCUGGUGUAGGGGUGAAAUCUGUAGAUAUCAGGAAGAACACCGAUGGCGAAGGCAGGUUUCCAGCAGACGACUGACGCUGAGGUGCGAAGGUGCGGGGAGCAAACAGGAUUAGAUACCCUGGUA